rnacentral:rRNA from 1 species
AGAGUUUGAUCAUGGCUCAGGACGAACGCUGGCGGCGCGCUUAACACAUGCAAGUCGAGCGAGAACCAGCCCUUCGGGGCUGGGGACAGCGGCGAACGGGUGAGUAACACGUGGGUAAUCUGCCCUCGGCACCGGAAUAGCCCGGGGAAACCCGGAUUAAUGCCGGAUGGCCUCUCGAGCUCCCGAGCUCGGGAGAAAAGGUAGCUUCGGCCUCCGGCCGAGGAUGAGCCCGCGGCCGAUUAGCUUGUUGGUGGGGUAAUGGCUCACCAAGGCGACGAUCGGUAGCUGGUCUGAGAGGACGAUCAGCCACACUGGGACUGAGACACGGCCCAGACUCCUACGGGAGGCAGCAGUGGGGAAUCUUGCGCAAUGGGCGAAAGCCUGACGCAGCGACGCCGUGUGCGGGAAGAAGGCCUUCGGGUUGUAAACCCCUUUCAGUUGGGACGAAGCUUCGCCGGUGAAUAGCCGGCUGGAGUGACGGUACCUUCACAAGAAGCCCCGGCUAACUACGUGCCAGCAGCGGCGGUAAUAC